GGCAAAAGAAAAACUCUAGAUUGUCUGAGGCAAGCACUCCUGAGAUGUCAUCAGAAUCCUAUCAACCUAUCCAAAGCCAAACAUCAAGCAAAUGUUUGUCAUCGAAUAAUUCUGUGGCAGAUGGUAAGUCAGAUAUUGCAGUUGUAUGGAUAAUCAAGAUUUUGGACAAAUUUACAGUAUCUUAUUCAGUACAAUACUUAAUGGUAGCCCGGUGAAGCUGG